CCAGCCAAGAGAACUGUCCAAAAGUGAUGUCCUUUGAUGUUUUAAUAUUCUGAUUCUCCAACACACAUCCUCACGUGAGCAAGCACCAAAGAUUCCAAAAAGAAGCCCCACGUUUGUUUAAAUUUUCUCAGCUGCUCUGUGACUCUGCCAUGACCCCAGCUGGAAGAUUUUUCCAGACAUGGGAUGGCUCCUGGUUUCUCUGAUGGAAGCUGUGGCAACGGAGACACUGAGGCUGUCCCUGCACAGGCUCAGGUGAUCACGGCACAGCACGGACCUCCAACCAAAAGGAAAUUCCCCCAGACCAGGAAAUAAGUCAGCGAGCAGGAAGAGGAACCCACGGCG
rnacentral:lncRNA from 1 species